AUAACAGAAAAGAAUUCCGGUGGAGCAACCUUUAAUGCUUCUUCUUGAAAUACAUACAUGGAGAAUGGACAUCAUCAUCAUUAAUAUGGACCAAAAAACAAAAAACCAAAAAAAGAAAAAGGAAAAUGAAGAAGAAGAAGGUAUAUCAUUUGAUGUAAGAUGCGUAUGGGACUGUACGUAUAUGAUUAAGAAGGGAUCCAUUUUUUGUUGAUCCAUGUCUACAUCCCAAAUUAAUGCAAUAUUUGAGUCCAUUUUCCUUUUCGGAUCCAGCAAAUCUGAUGGUGGAGAAGCAUAACUUAUUUUUCCGGGCAGGGGAAAUUCUUGCUGAAAAACUCUGGUGGAAGAAUAAUUCCAGCGAUCUUAAAGUGUGAAGGAAGUGUCAGCUACAGCAAAGGGUUGGGGACAUGAAGAAGAGAGAGAGAGAGACACGGAAAGCUGAGCAGGUGCAUUGGACAAAUUAAAAAAAGCGGAAAGCGGCAAGAACAAGCAGAAGUUAAUUGGAAUUAUUGGAGUCGUGGUCACUGCCCCGCUGCUCACCAAUUAACAAUAAUUCAAGUUUCCCAUGCCAAUCCCCAUAAUUUGAGCUGAGAUGGGAAAAGUUUUGUUUUGGUCCUACUCCUGCGUCGUGGAGACAUGACAUCCAUCACCCUACUGCUACUGCUGCAGCUGUGCUGGUACAUGAACACAAGACAAGACGGAGGGAGAGGCGGAGGUGGACAACCUUAUGUUUAUUACUGCUGCUCAUGGCAUCCGCCUCCUCCCACUGCUCCCUCCCCAUAUUCAUAAUUUAACAAACAAGAAAAAAGUCAUCUCUGGAGGAGGAUUCCAUCAUUUCAUCAAUUUAAACAAAGAAUUUUAAUA